rnacentral:tRNA from 1 species
GAGGAUAUAGCUCAGUGGCAGAGUACUUGCCCGGCAUGCAAGAGGCCCUGGGUUCCAUGCCCAGCAUCAAAA